rnacentral:rRNA from 1 species
UACGGGGGGGGUAAGCGUUGUUCGGAAUUACUGGGCGUAAAGGGCUCGUAGGCGGCCAACUAAGUCAGACGUGAAAUCCCUCAGCUUAACUGGGGAACUGCGUCUGAUACUGGAUGGCUUGGAUUCGGGAGAGGAAUGCGGAAUUCCAGGUGUAGCGGUGAAAUGCGUAGAUAUCUGGAGGAACACCGGUGGCGAAGGCGGCGUUCUGGACUGCAUCUGACACUGAAAGACGAAAGCCAGGGGAGCAAACGGG